rnacentral:rRNA from 1 species
CCUACGGGGUGCAGCAGUCGAGAAUCAUUCACAAUGGGGGAAACCCUGAUGGUGCGACGCCGCGUGGGGGAAUGAAGGUCUUCGGAUUGUAAACCCCUGUCAUGUGGGAGCAAAUUAAAAAGAUAGUACCACAAGAGGAAGAGACGGCUAACUCUGUGCCAGCAGCCGCGGUAAUACAGAGGUCUCAAGCGUUGUUCGGAAUCACUGGGCGUAAAGCGUGCGUAGGCUGUUUCGUAAGUCGUGUGUGAAAGGCGCGGGCUCAACCCGCGGACGGCACAUGAUACUGCGAGACUAGAGUAAGGGAGGGGGAACAGGAAGGCUCGGUGUAGCAGUGAAAUGCGUAGAUAGCGAGAGGAACACUCGUGGCGAAGGCGGGUUCCUGGACAUUAACUGACGCUGAGGCACGAAGGCCAGGGGAGCGAAAGGGAUUAGAUACCCCGGUAGUC